rnacentral:rRNA from 1 species
UACGUAGGCAGCGAGCGUUGUUCGAAGUUACUGGGCGUAAAGAGUGCGUAGGCGGUUUUCUAAGUUUGGGGUGAAAUCUCCCGGCUUAACUGGGAGGGUGCGCCGAAGACUGGAAGGCUUGAGUAUGGGAGAGGUAAGCGGAAUUCCUGGUGUAGCGGUGAAAUGCGUAGAUAUCAGGAGGAACACCUGCGGUGUAGACGGCUUACUGGACCAUAACUGACGCUGAGGCACGAAAGCGUGGGUAGCAAACAGG